AACGAACGCUGGCGGCGUGGAUUAGGCAUGCAAGUCGAACGAUCCCGAUAAAGCCGUAAGGUGAUAUCGAGAUAGUGGCGUAAGGGUGAGUAAAACGUGAAUAAUUUAUCUUCGAAUUUGGGAUAACCCGCCGAAAGGCGGGCUAAUACCAAAAAGACUACAGUCCGCAUGGAUCGUAGUAAAAGGUGGCCUCUUUUAAAUGCUAUCGUUUGAAGAGAAGAUCGCGUUCUAUUAGCUAGUUGGUAGGGUAAAGGCCUACCAAGGCGAUGAUAGAUAGCUGGUCUGAGAGGAUGGUCAGCCACACUGGGACUGAGACACUGCCCAGACUCCUACGGGAGGCUGCAGUCGAGAAUCUUUCGCAAUGGGGGAAACCCUGACGAAGCGACGCCGCGUGAGCGAUGAAGGUCUUCGGAUUGUAAAGCUCUGUCACCUGGGAUGAAAUCUAAUCUGGCUAAUAACCGGAUUAAUUGACAGUACCAGGAGAGGAAGCCACGGCUAACUCCGUGCCAGCAGCCGCGGUAAUACGGAGGUGGCUAGCGUUGUUCGGAUUUAUUGGGCGUAAAGGGUGUGUAGGUGUCCUGCCAGGUCGUAUGUGAAAGCCUUUGGCUUAACCAAAGAAUGGCAUACGAAACCGGCGGGAUUGAGUACGAGAGAGGAGAAUGGAAUUCUCGGUGUAGAGGUGAAAUUCGUAGAUAUCGGGAAGAACACCGGUGGCGAAGGCGAUUCUCUGGCUCGAUACUGACGCUGAGACACGAAAGCUAGGGGAGCGAACAGGAUUAGAUACCCUGGUAGUCCUAGCCGUAAACGAUGGACACUAGGUGUAGGUCCUUCUGGAUCUGUGCCGCAGCUAACGCAUUAAGUGUCCCGCCUGGGGAGACGGUCGCAAGACU
rnacentral:rRNA from 1 species